CUUUUGUGCCUUAGAACCCCUUCUGUAAGGAUUGCACCUGUGGACUGGUCCUGGCUGCAAUUUGUUCAGGAAACACAGGACAUUACCCCACUCAGGGUGUCUCAAGUGUAACCUGGCACCAUGGGGACCCGCCACCCCACCGGGGGGCGGCAGAGGGCGCUCUUCUGUGCACCGACCUGCUGUGACUAGGACACCGCUUGCCAAUGCCAGCAGAGAACAGGAGCCAAGGACAGCAAGGACCAGCUCAGAGUCUAGAGAUGACUGUUCAUCAAGAAUCUGACUCAUCUGGGAUGUUUGUUUGAACCUGAUGCUUUCAGAAACAACCACUGGAGUUUUUCAAUAGAAAAGGAAGAAAAUCAAAACCCCGCCAAGUUAAUGGAAGUGAAGACCCAAAAGGGUUGCACUUACAAGGGAAAUUAUAAAUUUAGUUUUGGAUAGUAGUUUUAUUAGUGAAGUUAUUUCUGCACUAUCAGUCAGACAUAAACUCUAAGAAUGACCUUGUAUUUCUACAGCCUCUAAGGGGAACACAAUCUGCCUAAGAACAGGAUGCUGCCAGAGGAGUUGUGACGAAUCAUGAAGAUGAAUGGAUGGUCGGCAACGAAAUCUUCCACUGGCCCCAGACUGCUGGUCUUGGAAACAAUUGCUGUGGCGGCUGCUGCCUCUGUGCCCUCCUCACUCACCUCCACAAAGGACUUGUGAAUAAUUUUUGAUACGAAAAUAUCUCUGGUUUCUGUCAUGCCAGACAGAUCAGCCUUGCUCCUGCUAAAGAGAUCUUCCACACCCAUGCGAGCCAGUACUUUCCAGCAUUUGGGAUAACGAGAGAGUGAUGUGUUGCAAGUCAUCAAAGGCCCAAAUAAGAGGGUUUCAUCACAUCCAUCAAACAACCAUCCACCAGUCUCUCCAUCCACUCACCUGUCCAUUGAUAUAUGGCACGCCAUCCAUACACACACCCAACCUUACAUACCUACCCCCUCUCUACCUACUCGUCCAUGACUUAACAACAUCCUGCCAUACUGGAUCACUCUGAUGGACCCUGAAGGCUAUCAUUACCAUGAAGGUGAUAUUACAUGUUAGUAAUUGGUUAGUGGUGUAAGGGAAAAAUAUAAAAGUUUUCUUCUACUUAUUCUGU